rnacentral:rRNA from 1 species
GACGUAGGGCGCAAGCGUUGUCCGGAUUUAUUGGGCGUAAAGAGCUCGUAGGCGGCUUGUUGCGUCGGCUGUGAAAACCCGGGGCUCAACUCCGGGCCUGCAUUCGAUACGGGCAGACUAGAGUUCGGUAGGGGAGUCUGGAAUUCCUGGUGUAGCGGUGAAAUGCGUAGAUAUCGGAAGGAACACCAGUGGCGAAAGCGGCUUCCUGGUCCAGCACCGACGUCAGGCACGAAAGCGUGGGGAGCAAACAGGG